rnacentral:lncRNA from 1 species
AGUGCCAGGACUGCCAGAGCGGGAGGAGCGCGGCGCGGGCCAGCCGGGACUGCUGGACAGCGGGGUCCAGGCUAGAGGCGAGCGAGCGGUCAGUGACGGCUGUGGAGGAGGGAGGCGCUGGGCGUCAGCGCGGGACCCGAGCCUCUGGACCACUGAGCUGGGGGGCUGGCUGAGGUCCACCUCCUAACAAAUUAUUGGAAGGAAUAUGAGAAAAGUGAUCAGUUUGAAAUUCAGCUAACCCAGCAGCUAUGGUCCCUCAUCCCCAAUGAGGAUGUGAGAAGGUUCAUGUCUCAUGUUAUCUGGACCUUGAAAAUGGAAUGUUCAGAAACACAUGUGCAAGGGACCUGUGCCAAGCUCAUGUCACGAACAGGCCUCCUGAUGAAGCUUCUCAGCGAGCAGCAGGAAGCAAAGGCAUCCAAGGCAGAAUGGUCUGUAGACCAAUGGAAAACUGAUGAGACUCCAUCUUAAAAAAAAAAGAAAAAAAAAAUGGCCAGCAGGAUGCAGUGGCUCAUACCUAUAAUCCCAGCACUUUGGGAGGCUGAGGCAGGUGGAUCACCUGAGGUCAGGAGUUCGA